GCGGUAAUUCCAGCUCCAAUAGCGUAUAUUAAAGUUGUUGCAGUUAAAAAGCUCGUAGUUGGAUGUCUGCUGGAAGCAAUCAGUCCGCCCUAUUUGUAGGGUGUGCACUUGAUGAAUUCUGGCAUUUUUGUCCCAAUGAUGUAGCGGGGCGGUGGUAUUGGGUGAAAGCUCAAUAGCGUCUUUUCCGAUUAUUGGGAUACUGUUACUUUGAGAAAAUUAGAGUGUUUGAAGCAGGCUAAUUGCCUUGAAUACUGCAGCAUGGAAUAACAAUAUAGGAUUUCGGUUCUAUUUUGUUGGUUUCUAGGACUGAAAUAAUGAUUAAUAGGGACAGUUGGGGGCAUUCGUAUUUAACUGUCAGAG
rnacentral:rRNA from 1 species